rnacentral:rRNA from 1 species
AUGCGUCCCUUUCUGGCGUGCCGAAUAUGCAGAGCCCUUGAAAUAUUGGAAAUGCAAAAUGCGGCCUGGGCUCGCAUGCUAUCUUUAUCUGCGCACCCAGUUGCAUCGGGAUUUCCUGACCCAGAACUUGCCUCUCUCAACUCUUUGUUGCAGGAUGUGUCUACCUCACAGGAACCGGACACUAGGAGUCUGCUGAAUGGCGAAAAUUUCACCACGCGAGGCGCAUAUGCUGCCCUAUCCACCCAGCUCAACGACCAAGUCCUUGCCUUGGUUUGGGACUCACGGGUGCCGAAGAGAGUUAUGAUCUUCGGCUGGUUAUUUUAUUUGGAUCGCCUGAACACCAAGAAGAACCUGCGCAAGAAGCACAUCCUAAGCUCCGACAUCUGUCCUCGUUGUAACAACGCGGUGGAGGAUCGUGACCAGCUCUUCUUCACUUGUCCAGCGGCUCGCAGGGUUUGGCGUGCUACCGCUAUUCAACCUCAGUUCUCUCCGAUCGCUGAGUUCUUCACCUCUGCCGGGCCGCCUGCUCUGCCGACCACAAUCCAUCCCUUCUUGCUACUUCUCAUUCUCUGGAAAAUCUGGGAUGCUAGGAACAAAAAAGUUUUCCAGAGUCUCGAGAUUGAUGCGAGAGGUACGAUCAAAGCGAUUCUAGAUGACCUUAUUCUUUGGUCUCACCGUCUCAGGAUGGCAUUACUUAAGGAUCACGCCGGGCUGUGGCGUGAUUUCCUCUCCUCUCACACUGCGUGA